GCAGCAGGAACUGGCCGUCGAGCAGCAGCAGGAACUGGCCGUCGAGCCCCAGCAGCAGAAGGAACUGGCCGUCGAGCCCCAGCAGCAGAAGGAACUGGCGUCGAGCCCCAGCAGCAGAAGGAACUGGCCGUCGAGCCCCAGCAAGUGAGGUAUCCAGCUCAAAUGGCCCAGCAGCAACCCAACCCCAUUCCUCAUCAAUUUUGCAUGCAGCCCAAAUUUCCCAGCAGCAACUGGCCCCAAAUUCUCAGCAGAAGCACUACGAAAGCACUGAAGAUGGUGCCUCUGGUAAUUCUCAGGCCAGAGUUGUUGAACAGUCGGGUGUCAUCCCAAUCUCUUCCUACAGUUUCAAAUCGCACUACAAGAAUGGCAGAACUGGAGUCUCCCAAAUCAGCUACACUCUAGGGAGGCAAUGCCUGUUGACAGUGGAAAUGCUCCCAAGGACGGUUAUGUUAGCAUUGGUGCACCAAGCAUAUAUCCAACACUAGUGAAGGAUUCUGCAAGGGAAAUAUAAUGGAUUCAUCCUCUAGAAGCUCUAAUGACCAGGAAGUUGCUGGUGCUCUUGCUACUCUAGUGUGAUGGAAUCAAUAAACAAUUUGACUUUAAAAAA